UACGUAGGGGGCUAGCGUUGUCCGGAUUUAUUGGGCGUAAAGAGCGUGUAGGCGGCCAGGUAGGUCUGCUGUGAAAACUCGAGGCUCAACCUCGAGACGUCGGCGGAAACCAUCUGGCUAGAGUCCGGAAGAGGAGAGUGGAAUUCCUGGUGUAGCGGUGAAAUGCGCAGAUAUCGGGAGGAACACCUGUGGCGAAGGCGGCCCCCUGGUUGGAUACUGACGCUGAUACGCGAAAGCGUGGGGAGCAAACAGG
rnacentral:rRNA from 1 species